rnacentral:rRNA from 2 species
CUUGACCUCAAAUCGGGUGAGACU